rnacentral:lncRNA from 1 species
ACAGCCAACCGAGCUCGAGUUGGAGCAGGCUUUCCACCAGGGGAAGUAACAUGCUGCCAUAACAAGCAGCCAAGGAGCUGCGUGAUUUCUACUUGAAAACUGCGAUCGACACUGAAAAAAUAUAUUCUUUCUGUGAAACUUUAUUGAACUAUUUCUUUCUGCUUGAAACAAAUACUACUAUUGUUCUUGCCUUGUUGGAUACAUUGCCUUGUAUGCGUGACU